rnacentral:rRNA from 1 species
UACAGAGGGGGCAAGCGUUGUUCGGAAUUACUGGGCGUAAAGGGCGCGUAGGUGGCCUUCUAAGUCGAACGUGAAAUCCCUGGGCUCAACCCAGGAACUGCGUCCGAUACUGGAAGGCUUGAAUCCGGGAGAGGGAUGCGGAAUUCCAGGUGUAGCGGUGAAAUGCGUAGAUAUCUGGAGGAACACCGGUGGCGAAGGCGGCAUCCUGGACCAUUACUGACACUGAAAAGCGAAAGCCAGGGGAGCAAACGGG